rnacentral:rRNA from 1 species
CCUACAUGAAGCUGGAGUUACUAGUAAUCGCAGAUCAGAAUGCUGCGGUGAAUGCGUUCCCGGGUCUUGUACACACCGCCCGUCACACCAUGGGAGCCGGUAAUACCCGAAGUCAGUAGUCCAACCUCGUGAGGACGCUGCCGAAGGUAGGAUUGGCGACUGGGGUGAAGUCGUAACAAGGUAUC